ensembl:lncRNA
GAAUGAGUCAGUGGACUGUCAGAAUGCAAGUUCCUGGUUGGUCAAAAUACUGUUGAUAUUGCCUGCGUUCCAUGACUCUGUAGACAAAAACGAAUGCUCCGGUUGGAACGUUAUUGGAUAUAUAUGAAAAUAACAUCAUGAAGAUUGAUUCUCUACUUAGUUUGACCAGUUUAUUCGACCUGGAAUAUAACUUUUUGAAGCGCCAGCUUUUGGACAUGUGAGCUAAAUCUGCCAGCAAAAGCAGCUAAUUGGACACUAGUAAUGGACAUUAUGGAACAAAACAACGAUUUAUUGUGGAACUAGGACUCCAUGCACUGCAUUCUGAUGAAAGAUCAUCAAAGGAGAAGCAAGGAUCGGACCAAUACGCAGCGUGGACCUGAGCCCUAGGACCAUGCCUCAGGACUACCUGACAUGAUGACUCCUUGCUGUCCCCAGUCCACCUGGCCGUGCUGCUGCUCCAGUUUCAACUGUUCUGCCUGUGAUUAUUAUUAUUUGACCAUGCUGGUCAUUUGUGAACAUUUGAACAUCUUGGCCAUGUUCUGUUACAAUCUCCACCUGGCACAACCAGAAGAGGACUGGCCACCCCACAUAGCCUGGUUCCUCUCUGGGUUUCUUCCUAGGUUUUGGCCUUUCUAGGGAGUUUUUCCUAGCCACCGUGCUUCUACACCUGCAUUGCUUGCUGUUUGGGGUUUUAGGCUGGGUUUCUGUACAGCACUUUGAGAUAUCAGCUGAUGUACGAAGGGCUAUAUAAAUACAUUUCAUUUGAUUUUGAUUUGAUUUGAAUACACCUGUCUAUAUAAGGUCCCACAGUUGACAGUGCAUGUCAGAGCAAAAACCAAGCCAUGAGGUCGAAGGAAUUGUCCGUAGAGCUCCAAGACAGGAUUGUGUCGAGAGCACAGAUCUGGGGAAGGGUAUCAAAACAUUUAUGCAUCAUUGAAGGUCUCCAAGAACACAGUGGCCUCCAUCAUUCUUAAAUGGAAGAAGUUUGGAACCACCAAGACUGCUCCUAAAGCUGUCCGCCUGGCCAAACUGAGCAAUCGGGGGAGAAGGGCCUUGUUCAAGGAGGUGACCAAGAACCCGAUGGUCACUCUGACAGAGCUCCAGAGUUCCUCUGUGGAGAUGGGAUAACCUUCCAGAAGGACAACCAUCUCUGCAACACCACCAAUCAGGCCUUCAUGGUAGAGUGGCCAGACGGAAGCCACUAAUCAGUAAAAGGCACAUGACAGACCGCUUGGAGUUUGCCAAAAGGCACCUAAAGGACUCUCAGACCAUGAGAAACAAGAUUCUGUUCUGUUCUGAUGAAACCAAGAUUCAACUCUUUGGCCUGAAUGCCAAGGCUAAGUACACAGCCAAGACAACCCAGGAGUGGCUUUGGGAAAGGUCUCUGAUUGUCCUUGAGUAGCCCAGUCAGAGCCCAGACUUUAACCUGAUCGAACAUCUCUGGAGAGACCUGAAAAUAGCUGUGCAGCGAUGCUCCCAAUCCAACCUGACAGAGCUUGAGAGGAUCUGCAGAGAAGGAUGGGAAAAACUCAAAUACAGGUGUGCUAAGCUUGUAGUGUCAUACCUAAGAAGACUGGAGGAUGUCAUCGCUGCCAAAGGUGCUUCAACAAAGCACUGAGUAAAAGGUUAUUUAUAAAUUUGCUAACAUUUCCUAAAACCUUUUUUUGCUUUGUCACACUCUCUAUCCGUCUCUGCAUUGUUGCGAAGGGCCCGCAAGUAAGCAUUUCACUGUUAGUCUACAGCUGUUGUUUACUAAGGAUGUGACAAAUACAAUUUUAUAUUAUUUGAUCUACAGUCAAGUAAAUGACCUAAUGUACGAUUCCAC